rnacentral:rRNA from 1 species
GGACUACCCGGGUAUCUAAUCCUGUUUGCUACCCACGCUUUCGCGCCUCAGCGUCAGGCGUCGCCCAGUCUGCUGCCUUCGCCAUGGGUGUUCCUCCUGAUAUCAACGCAUUUCACCGCUACACCAGGAAUUCCACAGACCUCUGCGACCCUCAAGUCUGCCAGUAUGCAGAGCAGUUUCCGGGUUGAGCCCUGGAGAUUUCACUCUACACUUAACAGACCGCCUACGCGCCCUUUACGCCCAGUAAAUCCGGACAACGCUUGCACCCUACGUCUUACCGCGGCUGCUGGCAC